rnacentral:rRNA from 1 species
GAGUUUGAUCAUGGCUCAGAUUGAACGCUGGCGGCGUGCCUUACACAUGCAAGUCGAACGGCAGCAUGAUCUAGCUUGCUAGAUUGAUGGCGAGUGGCGAACGGGUGAGUAAUACAUCGGGACGUGCCCUGUAGUGGGGGAUAACUAGUCGAAAGAUUAGCUAAUACCGCAUACGACCUGAGGGUGAAAGUGGGGGACCGCAAGGCCUCAUGCUAUAGGAGCGGCCGAUGUCUGAUUAGCUAGUUGGUGGGGUAAAGGCCCACCAAGGCGACGAUCAGUAGCUGGUCUGAGAGGACGAUCAGCCACACUGGGACUGAGACACGGUCCAGACUCCUACGGGAGGCAGCAGUGGGGAAUUUGGUACAAUGGGCGGAAAGCCUGAUCCAGCAAUGCCGCGUGUGUGA